rnacentral:misc_RNA from 1 species
AGCAGCCGCGGUAAUUCCAGCUCCAAUAGCGUAUAUUAAAGUUGCUGCAGUUAAAAAGCUCGUAGUUGAAUUUCGGGACUAAUAUGUCGGUCGUGCCUCGGUACGUACUGGUUUAUUGGUUUCUCCUUUCUGAAGAACCAUGAUGUCAUUUAUUUGGUGUCGUGGGGAAUCAGGACUGUUACUUUGAAAAAAUUAGAGUGUUUAAAGCAGGCUCACGCUUGAAUACAUUAGCAUGGAAUAAUGAAAUAGGACGUUUGAUUCUAUUUUGUUGGUUUCUAGGAUCGACGUAAUGAUUAAUAGGGAUAGUUGGGGGCAUUAGUAUUCAAUUGUCAGAGGUGAAAUUCUUGGAUUUAUUGAAGACUAACUACUGCGAAAGCAUUUGCCAAGGAUGUUUUCAUUAAUCAAGAACGAAAGUUAGGGGAUCGAAGACGAUCAGAUACCGUCGUAGUCUUAACCAUAAACUAUGCCGACUAGGGAUCGGAUGAUGUUAAUUUUUUAAUGACUCAUUCGGCGUCCUUAC